rnacentral:rRNA from 1 species
ACCUGACUGCUAUCGGAUUGAUACUAAGCCAUGUGAGUCAUUGUAGCAAUACAAGGCAUACGGCUCAGUAACGCGUAGUCAACCUAACCUAUGGACGGGAAUAACCUCGGGAAACUGAGAAUAAUGCCCGAUAGAACACUAUACCUGGAAUGGUUUGUGUUCCAAAUGAUUUAUCGCCAUAGGAUGGGACUGCGGCCUAUCAGUUUGUUGGUGAGGUAAUGGCCCACCAAGACUAUUACAGGUACGGGCUCUGAGAGGAGUAGCCCGGAGAUGGGUACUGAGACACGGACCCAGGCCCUAUGGGGCGCAGCAGGCGAGAAAACUUUGCAAUGUGCGAAAGCACGACAAGGUUGAUCCGAGUGAUUUGUGCUAAACGAAUCUUUUGUUAGUCCUAGAAACACUAACGAAUAAGGGGUGGGCAAGUUCUGGUGUCAGCCGCCGCGGUAAAACCAGCACCUCAAGUGGUCAGGAUGAUUAUUGGGCCUAAAGCAUCCGUAGCCGGCUCUGUAAGUUUUCGGUUAAAUCUGUACGCUUAACGUACAGGCUGCCGGGAAUACUGCAAAGCUAGGGAGUGGGAGAGGUAGACGGUACUCGGUAGGAAGUGGUAAAAUGCUUUGAUCUAUCGAUGACCACCUGUGGCGAAGGCGGUCUACCAGAACACGUCCGACGGUGAGGGAUGAAAGCUGGGGGAGCAAACCGGAUUAGAUACCCGGGUAGUCCCAGCUGUAAACUAUGCAAACUCAGUGAUGCAUUGGCUUGUGGCCAAUGCAGUGCUGCAGGGAAGCCGUUAAGUUUGCCGCCUGGGAAGUACGUACGCAAGUAUGAAACUUAAAGGAAUUGGCGGGGGAGCACCACAAGGGGUGAAGCCUGCGGUUC